UUGUGAACAAGUGAGGCUUCAGCUUUGGCCUUCUCCCAUUUGCCGCUCAGGAAGGCAUGGUGGACAUUAUUGCUCUCAAGGCGACUGGAGCCGGCCAUAUAAACAGCAAGCGGCCUUCUUGGGAGGGUAUCUCCUGUUAGAGACCGUGAGAGGGGCUGCAUGGUCCCUGACCAUGAUGGCGUGCGGAAAUCGGCCACGAGAACAAAGACAUUAAACACAGCUGCCAUCUGCACGCCGCGAGUGAGCCCUGGCUGGUUAGGAGAGAGGCUGCAGGAUGUGCCUGUGGAAAGGUCUGGUCGUCGGGGAGACUUCGUGGUGCAGGCUGAGGGGCCGGGAAGGAACGCGGCGGAGCAACGGGCGGCGCGGAGUGUGGAUCCCUGCCGUCCAGUGAUCAGUCACGGAGAAACAGCGAUCAUUCCCUCUCCGCUGAGGCGAGCAAAGCUGGCAAAGGGAGAGAAUACAGACGGAGAAGCUGAGACUCUCUUUGGUUGUGGUAACUGACACUGAUGGUUGGAUUUGGGGCAGGAUGUGCCAGUCCGGUGAUGCAGAUUCAGAGGAAUGCAGCACUUUUCAAAAUGCAUGGGAGACCAGGAAGACUUCAGGGGUGAGAGAAUAUAGUGUAGCUUUGCUUUUUUAUAAGAUACACAUGGACUGACUGGUGCAUUUGUGUCAGGGAAAAAAAAAAGCUGUUUCGCAGAGGGCGAGUGUAAUCUUCCAAUCAGAAUGUGGGUGUGCAUGUGACCGUAGCUCAUUCUCUGAUAGGACGCUUUGUCCCGACUCCCUUUAGCACACUUUACUGCUUCUUAUAAACAUGCAGCCUGAGCCUACAGGACUGAGUCCGCUCUCUGGGAUCCGUUUAGAAAGCUUUAGAAUCAUUGGGCCAUGCAGUGAGACUUCCUGGGAAGGCAUUAAAAAAAACAAAAAAGCAGAAAGAAAGCGAGACAAAGAAAAAGCUGAAAAAUAAAGUUAAAAAAAAGAAAACUGGAGGAAUUCUGCACUCGCUAACAGCUCCUUCGGCUAAUGGGUUUCAGAUGUGCAGCGUCUUUCAUUUUCAAAAGAACAUAAAACAUCCUGUCUCAGGAGAAUUCUAGUAACGGCAGGAAUUUACUGCAUAUGGUCACAACUGAUGUAAAAAAAAAAUGGCGACUGUUUCUUUAAAGUGAUUGCGUUCUUAUUUUUCUCCGAGACAUGCAUCUUAAACAACCGGACGACUGUUUAAACAAACUUGCAAGCUUGAGGCCUCAUAAUCAUUGGCCGUCACACUGUUCUCAUAUUGUAGGUGUUUUUCUUUCUCCCCAUUUCCUGUUUUCACAAAGAACAGAUUAAGCCUAAGUUGUGUGAAGUCAUUCUGAAUCCUGA